rnacentral:rRNA from 1 species
AUUGAACGCUGGCGGCAUGCUUUACACAUGCAAGUCGAACGGCAGCGCGGGCUACGGCCUGCCGCCGGAUGGCCAACGGAUGGGUAAGUAAUCGGAACGUGCCCAGUAGUUGGGGAGAGCCCGGCGAAAGCCGGAUUAAGCUCGCAUAGGACCUGAGGGUGAAACCGGGGGUCUAAAAGGCCACGCGGCAUUGGAACGGCCGAUGUAGGAUCAGCUAGUUGGUGGGGUAAAGGCUUACCAAGACGACGAUCCGUAGCUGGUCUGAGAGGACGACCGGCCACACUGGGACUGCGCCACGGCCCAGACUCCUCCGGGAGGCAGCGGUGGGGAAUUUUGGACAAUGGGGGCAAUCCUGCUCCAGCCCUGCCGCUUGCGAGAAGAAGGCCUUCGGGUUGUAAACCGCUUUUGUUCGGGAAGAAAUCCUCUGGGCUAAUACCCCGGGGGGAUGACGGUACCGGCAGAAUAAGCACCGGCUAACUACGUG